rnacentral:rRNA from 1 species
AGGGGGUCAUCCCGACUUACCAACCCGAUGCAAACUCCGAAUACCGUGGAGUAUAUCCUGGCAGACACACGGCGGGUGCUAACGUCCGUCGUGAAAAGGGCAACAACCCUAACCUCCAGCUAAGGUCCCCAAGUCAUGGCUAAGUGGGAAAGGAUGUGAGGAUCCCAAAACAACCAGGAUGUUGGCUUAGAAGCAGCCAUCAUUUAAAGAAAGCGUAACAGCUCACUGGUCUAGUCAAGGGUCUUUGCGCCGAAAAUGUAACGGGGCUGAAGCCAUGCACCGAAGCUGAGGAUGUGCACUUUGUGCACGUGGUAGCGGAGCGUUCCGUAAGCCUGUGAAGGGACAGUCGUGAGACAUCCUGGAGGUAUCGGAAGUGCGAAUGUUGACAUGAGUAACGAUAAAGAGGGUGAGAGACCCUCUCGCCGAAAGACCAAGGGUUCCUGCUUAAAGUUAAUCUGAGCAGGGUUAGCCGGCCCCUAAGGUGAGGCAGAAAUGCGUAGCCGAUGGGAACCACGUUAAUAUUCGUGGGCCUGGAGGUGUGUGACGGAUGGUGUAACUUGUUCGGGCUUAUUGGAUUGCUCCGGGCAGGGAAAUCGUCCCAGGAAAUAGCCCCUCCAUAUAGACCGUACCCUAAACCGACACAGGUGGACUGGUAGAGUAUACCAAGGCGCUUGAGAGAACUAUGCUGAAGGAACUCGGCAAAUUGCACGCGUAACUUCGGAAGAAGCGUGACCCUUUUGUACGCAAGUACAGGAGGGUGGCACAGACCAGGGGGUAGCGACUGUUUAUCAAAAACACAGGGCUCUGCGAAGUCGCAAGACGACGUAUAGGGUCUGACGCCUGCCCGGUGCUGGAAGGUUAAGAGGAGAGGUGCAAGCUCUGAAUCGAAGCCCCAGUAAACGGCGGCCGUAACAAUAACGGUCCUAAGGUAGCGAAAUUCCUUGUCGGGUAAGUUCCGACCUGCACGAAUGGCGUAACGACUUCCCCGCUGUCUCCAACAUAGACUCAGUGAAAUUGAAUUCCCCGUGAAGAUGCGGGGUUCCUGCGGUCAGACGGAAAGACCCCGUGCACCUUUACUAUAGCUUUACACUGGCAUUCGUGUCGGCAUGUGUAGGAUAGGUGGUAGGCUUUGAAGCAGGGACGCCAGUUUCUGGUGGAGCCAUCCUUGAAAUACCACCCUUAUCGUCAUGGAUGUCUAACCGCGGUCCGUCAUCCGGAUCCGGGACAGUGUAUGGUGGGUAGUUUGACUGGGGCGGUCGCCUCCGAAAGAGUAACGGAGGCGCGCGAUGGUGGGCUCAGACCGGUCGGAAAUCGGUCGUCGAGUGCAAUGGCAUAAGCCCGCCUGACUGCGAGACUGACAAGUCGAGCAGAGACGAAAGUCGGUCAUAGUGAUCCGGUGGUCCCGCGUGGAAGGGCCAUCGCUCAACGGAUAAAAGGUACUCUAGGGAUAACAGGCUGAUUUUGCCCAAGAGUCCAUAUCGACGGCAAAGUUUGGCACCUCGAUGUCGGCUCAUCACAUCCUGGGGCUGGAGCAGGUCCCAAGGGUUCGGCUGUUCGCCGAUUAAAGUGGUACGUGAGCUGGGUUCAGAACGUCGUGAGACAGUUUGGUCCCUAUCUGCCGUGGGUGUACGAAGCUUGAGAGGAUCUGUCCCUAGUACGAGAGGACCGGGAUGGACAUACCUCUGGUGGACCUGUCGUGGCGCCAGCCGCGCAGCAGGGUAGCUAAGUAUGGAAUAGAUAACCGCUGAAAGCAUCUAAGCGGGAAACUAACCUCAAAACAAGGCUUCGCCGAGAGCCGUGGUAGACCACCACGUUGAUAGGCCAGGUGUGGAAGUGCCGCGAGGCAUGCAGCUUACUGGUACUAAU